ensembl:lncRNA
GGCCAACCAAAUUAGAUAAGAGAAAAUGAAAACUAAAAAGAGCAGCAGAGAUUAUAUUGUUUACUAGUAUUAAAGCAAAGUUGAACUCAAAAUGUGCUUAAAAAAAUUAAUAAAUUCAUCACCUUUUUUCCCCCCAUUUAGACUUUUAAUCCACAAUAUUUCAGUAAGCAUUAUGUAUGAGCUCAGUUUAUUGAGCCACAAAAUAAGCUCCACAGCUUUGGGCCUGUCAUGUCCAAUAUGCAAAUUCUUUGAGAAUGAUAUGGCACCUGGGGACCUGCAUGCUAAAACUGCUUCACUGAUGUGAAUAAUGUUAUGGUAUAUUUUCACAGGUUUGCCUACUGUCACAACAUACUGAGAAUCUAACAAUGCAAAACGAGACUCGGAUACAAAAACCCAGUUAGAACCUUCACUAGCUAGUUAGCUAGUGAGAAAGCCCAAUUUGUUUGUUUGUUUGUUUAUUUAUUUAUUUAUUUUUGUCCAUUGUUAAAAGCGCUAUACAAAUAAAAUUGAAUUGAGCUUGUCUAGGAUCCCUCUAGGUGAAAGACUGCGCAGUGUGUGAGCCUUGUCUGCGAUCGCUACAUCCGAAAAACAACAAAUCACAAGCGAUAAAAGUCAUUUACAAUGAGCAAUACGGCAAUUCUGAGGUUUUGAAAGUCGUGGAGUAUAUAAAUGUGUUUUCUGUGCUUCUUGCCUUUGCUUUCCAAAGUUCAUGAUUCCACAUCUCUUACUUUCCACAAACACACUGGAGACAGGAAAAUGCGCAACAAACAGAUGGUAAUUUCUAAGCAAUAGAGUUUGGUUUCAGGGACAAUAUGGUGCCAUAAGACAGUUCUCCAAAUAGAGAGCAAUUUCCAAUAAAGUGCAUUUUACACAAAAACAUGGCCUUGCUAUUUAUGAUCGUGCCAAGAACCGGAGGGCUUGUGUUUAACAGCCAUAUGCACGCACUGCCUUGGGUACAGUGCCAAUGUGUAGGUCUGAGGAAGGCAUUCCCGGCAGUCUCUAAUGGGCUAAACCAUUAGAUUUGGCAAAUGGGCGAACCCAUGGGUUUGGCAGAUUGAAAACCUGGCAACAUGUGAGGACACUGAAUUUCACUAUGGCAGAAAACAAAUGCAUCUCAAUAAACCUGGUGAUAAAUGCAUCCAAAUUGAUUUAGAUCUUGAGUAUGGUGCAUAAGGAUGCUCAAUGUUACACAUUACUAGAUCAAGUGUUCUUGACUGCGAUCACCAUAAAUUCGCUAGAAAUAAAGAACAGAAAUAAAACUAACCUAAAACACAAAACCAUUCAUGUCAAGGGAAUAAUAUGCCAAUAAAUAAAUACAUUUUCCAUCAACAUUAGAAAAACCAUCAGUACCAUGCUAAAGAGGUAUGGUAAAGAGGCACUACCAUGGAAACACUUCAACCUAUGAAUAAUUCAAACCUGUUGCCUACAACCGUUGCUUACUUUAUUUAAUUUUUCCCUUCAACCUGACACUGGACCGGCAAUUACUUUGGACCGACACACUGUAUUCAUUGACACUCUAUUCGUUGGUGAAAAAUGUAAUCAUCCCUGCCACUGAGAGAGAACCGUAUUCUCCUUUGACAUUGUAAAAAAAAUAAAAUAAAAUAUGAUCAAAGCAUGACUUCACAUCAAAGUCUAGCUAGACGUUCAAACUGUCAUUAUACGAACCGGCAUCAGAGCAAGCAUGUGCAAGAGCGAUGUGAGGAACCGACACAAAAUACCAAAGAAAAUCUUGAAAAACUUAAUGAAGGCAAACGCGUCAAUUAAAACAAGAAAUGAGAUGGCACGGUCAAUGACAAGAAAGCAUCACCUAGCUUUCUAGGUCAGUAUGUACCUAAAAUCAAUUUAGAAAAACUUCCAUAGCCUUAUAAUGUAUACUUUAUAGUAUACAUAAUAAAGUAAGUAAGUAAGUAAGUAAGAACGAAGGUAAAAUAUAUAUCAGACUGUUAUUUGUACUUUACUGCUAAUUGCAUAUCCACAUUUACUGUAAUACUGUUACUUGCUAUUUGCAUAUUUACGUUUAGUGUAAUACACUGUAUGUACCUACUGUAUGUAUCAUAUUGCAUGCAUCAUGCUGUUUACCACUGUACUGGUUAUCUCAACCUAUUGCACCUCAAUUCCCAUUUAUUGCAUUUAAUUUAAUUGCCAUUUGCAUCAUUUGAAUUACCUUUACCUGUACACUGUUACUUAUCGCACUAGAACAUUUAUGUUCAUCAAACUUUUUUUACUGUUUGCACAACUGGGUGGAUGCUAACUGCAUUUCAUUGCCUCUGUACUUGUACUCUGACAAUGACAAUAAACUUGAACCUAACCAAACCUAACUUAAGUAAGUAAGGUAUGUAAGUAAACAAGUGAGUAAGAAAGUAGGAAAUAAGUAAGUAGGUAAGCAAGUAAGUAAGUAGGAAAUUAAGUGGGUAAGUAAGUAGGAAAUUAAGUCGGUAAGAAAGUAGGAAAUUAAGUAGGUAAGUAAGUAGAAAUUAAGUCGGUAAGAAAGUAGGAAAUUAAGUAAGUACGAAAGUAGGAAAUUAAGUCAGUAAGAAAGUAGGAAAUUAAGUAAAUAAGAAAGUAGGAAAUUAAGUAGGAAAUUAAAUAGGAAAUUAAGUAGAUAAGUAAUAAGGUAAGAAAAUUAAGUAAGUAGGUAAGAAAGUAAGGUAAGUAAAGAAGGUAACUAAGUUAGGUAAGUAUAUAAGGUAAGUACAUAAGCAAAUAAAUAUGUAAGAAUGUACUUAAGUAUCAAAAACUACUUCCAUAGCCUUAAAGUGUAUGCACUAAUAAUCUAAAACUAUACUUCGCAUGUACUACAGAAAUUUGACAGCACUAACAUUAAUUUCAUUAAUUUUAAGAGAAAAAAGGUUGACAGUUUGUAGCUUAAGUGAUAACAAAAACUAACUUGACAAAUGGAUAAAAAGUACGUCAUUCUUUAAUAAAUAAAUUAAAAAGACCAAAAAAAAUUAAAAAAAAUCAGGUUGUCUGGUUACCAAGAAACCGCAAACCUCAAGAACUUUUCCCAUGUUGGAAAACAUACUGACCGUUACAAAGCCCUGACACUGGAGACUCCUUCCAAAACAUGUCCUUAAAGAAAGCUUCACUAUACCAACAAUUACCUACAUUAAAAUGCCCAUAAGUAAGCUAUUACUACAGGGGGGGAAAAAAAAGGAAAAAAAAAAACACAAAAACGUAUUGCAACAUGUGCAUUAAUACAAACAAACCUGUGUCUUGAUGUUGCAGAUAAUUCAUCAACACCUUCUUACCAAUCAGAAUUAAGCUUUCAACGCCACUGUAUUAUAAAUUCAUAUAACACUAAGUAGUCACCCUUGUUUACUAAGCCUUAUGCUUCACU